CCGAAGUCAGGUGCUCAACCAACUGAGCCACCCAGGCGCCCCUGGAAACAGCCCUAACAACACUUUGAUUUGCUCAGUAACAUCCAUGUGGGAAAACUGUAAAGCAAUAUACUUGUGUUGUUUUUAGCCAACAAGCUGUUAUAUAUAAUAAGCAAGAGACAACUAAUACAGGGAUUAACAGGAGAAAUUGAAAAUUGGUUAUUUGAUGAUAACAAAAUUUUUAUUUUAGGUGUGAUAAUUGAAUUAUGGUUAGGUUUUUAAAAAGAGUGUUCUUUUAGGGAUGAUAUUGAAAUAUUAUCAAUGACGUGAUAGAUGUUGCAUUUGCUUCAGAAUGGUUCAGAAAUGGCAGGGGAAUGAAUGGCAUAUAAAUGAAAUGUAUCAGUUACAGACUGAUAAAUUGUUAACGUUUGGUUCUUUUUCUUUAUUAAAUUUUACUGUUUUUUAAAGUAAUUGUUUCCUUAGCAUCCUCUAAAGAUGAUUAAUGCUAUUUUUUUUCUAAUUUCAGAAAUCAUUGUGAGCUCAUGGGGUUAAACAUAUUUGAAGUAUUGUAGUCCAUGGUUAUUAUCUUUAUUAAUGCUCAAACUGUCUCAUCUACUUCUUUGAAGUCCCUUUGAUACCACUCUGGUAGUCUUUGAUAGCUUCCUUCCUUGCUAAUAUGAGAAGAUAUUCUAGACUUCCCUUGUUUAUUUUCUGCCCCAAUUCUAUACUUAGCAGUUUUUUUUAAGGAGUCUGGUUCCUUUUAGCGGGAAGAUGAUAAUUUUGGUACUGGAGUCAUUGAUUCUCUAAACAAAGAUAUAUUAAGCAAUAUGCCAGGGACUGUUCUAGAUGCUAGAGGUGUUUCAAUGAAUAAAAUAGUGUCCCUGGCCUUAAGGUCUGAAGAGACAGAAAA